UACGGGGGGAGCAAGCGUUGUUCGGAUUUACUGGGCGUAAAGGGCGCGUAGGCGGCGCAACAAGUCACUUGUGAAAUCUCCGGGCUUAACUCGGAAAGGUCAAGUGAUACUGUCGCGCUAGAGUGCGGAAGGGGCAAUCAGAAUUCUUGGUGUAGCGGUGAAAUGCGUAGAUAUCAAGAGGAAUACCUGAGGUGAAGACGGGUUGCUAGGCCGACACUGACGCUGAAGCGCGAAAGCCAGGGGAGCAAACAGG
rnacentral:rRNA from 1 species